rnacentral:rRNA from 1 species
CACUCCUGCGGGAGGCAGCAGUGGGGAAUAUUGGACCAUGGGCGCAAGCCUGAUCCAGCCAUGCCGCGUGAGUGAUGAAGGCCCUAGGGUUGUAAAGCUCUUUCACCGGUGAAGAUAAUGACGGUAACCGGAGAAGAAGCCCCGGCUAACUUCGUGCCAGCAGCCGCGGUAAUACGAAGGGGGCUAGCGUUGUUCGGAUUUACUGGGCGUAAAGCGCACGUAGGCGGACUAUUAAGUCAGGGGUGAAAUCCCGGGGCUCAACCCCGGAACUGCCUUUGAUACUGGUAGUCUUGAGUUCGAGAGAGGUGAGUGGAAUUCCGAGUGUAGAGGUGAAAUUCGUAGAUAUUCGGAGGAACACCAGUGGCGAAGGCGGCUCACUGGCUCGAUACUGACGCUGAGGUGCGAAAGCGUGGGGAGCAAACAGGAUUAGAUACCCCUGUAGUCCCAUGA